rnacentral:rRNA from 1 species
GUUGGGUAGGGGAGCGUUCUGUAAGCCUGCGAAGGUGUACUGUGAGGUAUGCUGGAGGUAUCAGAAGUGCGAAUGCUGACAUAAGUAACGAUAAUGCGGGUGAAAAACCCGCACGCCGGAAGACCAAGGGUUCCUGUCCAACGUUAAUCGGGGCAGGGUGAGUCGACCCCUAAGGCGAGGCUGAAAAGCGUAGUCGAUGGGAAACGGGUUAAUAUUCCCGUACUGGUGGUAACUGCGAUGGGGGAACGGAGAAGGCUAGGUUGUCCGGGCGACGGUCGUCCCGGUUCAAGCAGGUAGGCAGAGUGAUUAGGCAAAUCCGGUCACUUAAUGCUGAGAUGUGAUGACGAACCACCAAGGUGGUGAAGCAAUUGAUGCCCCGCUUCCAGGAAAAGCCUCUAAGCUUCAGGUUACCAACAAUCGUACCCCAAACCGACACAGGUGGUCAGGUAGAGAAUACUCAGGCGCUUGAGAGAACUCGGGUGAAGGAACUAGGCAAAAUGGUGCCGUAACUUCGGGAGAAGGCACGCUGGCGGUAGGUAAAGUCCCUCGCGGACAGAGCUGAAGCCAGUCGAAGAUACCAGCUGGCUGCAACUGUUUAUUAAAAACACAGCACUGUGCAAACACGAAAGUGGACGUAUACGGUGUGACGCCUGCCCGGUGCUGGAAGGUUAAUUGAUGGGGUCAGCCGUAAGGCGAAGCUCCUGAUCGAAGCCCCAGUAAACGGCGGCCGUAACUAUAACGGUCCUAAGGUAGCGAAAUUCCUUGUCGGGUAAGUUCCGACCUGCACGAAUGGCGUAAUGAUGGCCAGGCUGUCUCCACCCGAGACUCAGUGAAAUUGAACUCGCUGUGAAGAUGCAGUGUACCCGCGGCAAGACGGAAAGACCCCGUGAACCUUUACUAUAGCUUGACACUGAACAUUGAGCCUUGAUGUGUAGGAUAGGUGGGAGGCUUUGAAGUGUGGACGCCAGUCUGCAUGGAGCCAACCUUGAAAUACCACCCUUUAACGUUUGAUGUUCUAACCUAGGCCCAUAAACUGGGUCGGGGACCGUGUCUGGUGGGUAGUUUGACUGGGGCGGUCUCCUCCUAAAGAGUAACGGAGGAGCACGAAGGUUGGCUAAGCAUGGUCGGACAUCAUGCGGUUAGUGCAAAGGCAUAAGCCAGCUUGACUGCGAGAGUGACGGCUCGAGCAGGUACGAAAGUAGGUCUUAGUGAUCCGGUGGUUCUGAAUGGAAGGGCCAUCGCUCAACGGAUAAAAGGUACUCCGGGGAUAACAGGCUGAUACCGCCCAAGAGUUCAUAUCGACGGCGGUGUUUGGCACCUCGAUGUCGGCUCAUCACAUCCUGGGGCUGAAGUAGGUCCCAAGGGUAUGGCUGUUCGCCAUUUAAAGUGGUACGCGAGCUGGGUUUAGAACGUCGUGAGACAGUUCGGUCCCUAUCUGCCGUGGGCGUUGGAAGAUUGAGAGGGGUUGCUCCUAGUACGAGAGGACCGGAGUGAACGCACCACUGGUGUUCGGGUUGUCAUGCCAAUGGCAUUGCCCGGUAGCUAAGUGCGGAAGAGAUAACCGCUGAAAGCAUCUAAGCGGGAAACUUGCCUCGAGAUGAGUCUUCCCUGUCGCUUUAAGCGACCUAAAGGAACGUUUAAGACUAAGACGUUGAUAGGCUGGGUGUGUAAGCGUAGCGAUACGUUGAGCUAACCAGUACUAAUGAACCGUGAGGCUUAACCUGACAACACCGAAAGUGUUUUG